rnacentral:tRNA from 1 species
GUUCUAUUGCCGAAUUGGUAAAGGCAUCGCCUAUCAUAGGCGAGGUUGCGGGUUCGAGUCCAGCUGGAAAUA